rnacentral:rRNA from 1 species
AUUGAACGCUGGCGGCAGGCCUAACACAUGCAAGUCGAACGGAAACAGGAAGCAGUUUGCUGCUUCGCGGACGAGUGGCGGGCGGGUGAGAAAUGUCGGGGAAACUGCUUGAUGGAGGGGGAUAACUACUGGAAACGGUACCAAAUACCGCAUAACGUCGCAAGCCCAAAGAGGGAGACCUUAGGGCCUCUUGCCUUUCGCUUUUCCCAGGUGGGAUUAGCUAGUAGGUAGGGUAACGGCUCACCAAGGCGACGAUCCGUAGCUGGUCUGAGAGGGUGAUCGGCCACACUGGAACUGAGACACGGUCCAGACUCCUACGGGAGGCAGCAGUGGGGAAUAUUGCGCAAUGGGCGCAAGCCUGAUGCAGCAAUGCCGCGUGUAUGAAGAAGGCCUUCGGAUUGUAAAGUACUUUUAGCGGGGAGGAAGAGAGUAAAGAUAAUACCUUUACUCAUUGACGUUACCCGAAGAAGAAGCACCGGCUAACUCCGUG